AUGCUGCAGCUGAGCGACAGCGGCGGAUUUUGGCUCUUUGGUCCAGACUCUCUCCCCGAAGCGCCCGGGACUCCGCCCUGGAGGCUACUCAGGGAUCUGUCUUCCUCUGCGGCAGGAGGGGGCGCAAGGGGAUUUCUGCCACUGAGGCUGCACUCACCACCCUGGGUCCCAGGAGCCUUCCAGGAACUCUGGCAUCACCAGGAGCUGCAAGUCCCGCUCCCCGCAACCUUCACAGCCGCCGGUCCCGCCUGAGCUCGCCCAGGCCUCGUGGCUCCCGCCCCGGAGAAGCGCUGCGGAGCAGGGCAAAAACUCUGGAACACAAAGCCAAGCCAGACCCGACACAAAAGCCCCGGGGCUGAACCACGGACACCGGUGGCCAAGCCGGAAGCGCGCACCAACCCCAGCCCACACACUACAGGCCACUUAUUUUAUUUUAUUCUUUUUAUGUUGGUUUCUGGUCUGUGCAGUUUACCUCGGUGUGACUCAGGAAGGACACUGGAAGUCCACUGAUCUGGCCAGGACAGAACCACAUGUGUGUUUAGGAAAAGUGGCCUUAUUUUUCCAACCCUAGGGGCUCACGGGAUGCCCUUAGACUGACUACAGCAAUUCCCAGUUAAGGCAGAAGGUUGACAUGACAUCAGUGUUUUAGGAUUAAGUUCUCACGAAGGGCAGAAAAGUGGGAAGCCCGUGCUUUUCCAUGUUAAUCAGUUGGCUCCAUAAACAUCAUUUCAUUUAUGUUUUUGUGUUUUUUAUUAAUAAUUCCUUUGAGCUUCACUGGGAGAGAUGAGUAUGACUGCGGAGCUCGGUUUUGUAAAGCAUGGGGUGGCUAAGAAAGGGAAGUAACUGGCCCCAGAAUCUCACAGUCACCCAGUGACCUUCAGCCCAAGAAUCUGAUGGCCAUGCCUUCACUCCAAGGGAAAGGAGGCCAUCCAGAGAGAAGAGAAUUACAAGAAUAAGAGUGCAGAGAGUGUCCCAAACACAGUCCUGAGAUUCAUAGAGAAGCACAGGAGGAAGCAAGUGUCCAAGUAUCCAGAGUCCUGUGAGGUAGGGAUUUCAGUCCUCAAGGAUACCCUCUCCCAUCUGCCAGGUCUUCUGUGGACGAGCGUGGCUGUGGUUCCCUUCCCGUUCCCUUUAGGCAGUGUGCUGUAGGUUUCCACGUGAGGACCAUUUACUCCUUGCCUCUCCUCUCCCUCUCCAGUUUGCUGCAAAUGCAAGGGACCCCACACCUGCCUUUGCCCCACCCCUUGCCUCUCCUGGGGACAUUCUUCCUGCUCAGUGGUGGGCCUUGUGAGGACUUGCAGGACAGCCUGAGUGGGAGCUACUGCAAGGGCUCAAGGAGUUCCCGGAACCCCUCAGCACUCAUUCACUUCCCCACCAAGGGCCCCUGCAUUCUUCCUGCACCGAGCUCCAGGUGUUAACAGCUCCUGGGCAGGGUAACGGGUUCCAGGCAGCCCAGGUUGAAUGGAGCUUGGGAGCUGAGGUCCUCUGCUGGGGAUUCACUGUUCCAAGAGGACAGGGUUCUGAGUUUAUGGGGGAAGGGCUGGAUAGGAACUAGGAGACCAGUUAUAGGCCUGUUGCCAUCAAUCCUGGGACCAGUUAAUUGAUCUGUGUUCAGUUCAGGGUAGCACAAAUGAACUUGGCCUUUUCUCUGUGUAACUUUUUUCAGAAACCAUCACGCCCAGCCUUCCUUCCCUGGGCACAGAGGAGACCUGCCUCAGGGGAAGUUCUCUGUGGAAUUAAAAAGUCUUUUGGGCUCAGCUGUCCCCAGAGGCCUUCAGAACUCACCAAGGAUAGAGCUGCAGACUUCUGGUUGUCAAAUAGGGACUAAAACUGAUCACGCCUGCAAAUCAAUUGCAAAUCAAUCUUUCUUCCUGUUGCGGCAGUGCCCCUCACUUAGUCACCUGUCUUAAAUAGAAGCUUCGGUCCCCUCCUGGGCCCCAACCCUAUGGUCCCCAGGUUCCCCGUUUUUCACGUCUGAUCUCAAUUGACCCCCUCCCCCACACACCAUUUUUGACCAACCAGUCCACAAAACGCCCUGGGCUUUCUAAUGGGCCAGGUUCUCCUUAGAGAGGCAGGGAGGUGGAGAGGGAGCAUGGACGCCCAGCGCCUGCUGGGCAAACCCGAAUCUGGGGCUUGACCUAGCCGGCAGCCGGUGACGGUGACCCUGGGCCAGUGGUGGCUU
ensembl:lncRNA